GCCUGGGUGGCUCAGUUGGUUGAGCAUCUGACUUCGGCUCAGGUCGUGAUCUCACAGUUUGUGGGUUUGAGCCCCGCGUUGGGCU
rnacentral:tRNA from 1 species